rnacentral:rRNA from 1 species
UUGCUGCUUCGCUGACGAGUGGCGGACGGGUGAGUAAUGUCUGGGAAACUGCCUGAUGGAGGGGGAUAACUACUGGAAACGGUGGCUAAUACCGCAUAACGUCGCAAGACCAAAGAGGGGGACCUUCGGGCCUCUUGCCAUCAGAUGUGCCCAGAUGGGAUUAGCUAGUUGGUGAGGUAACGGCUCACCAAGGCGACGAUCCCUAGCUGGUCUGAGAGGAUGACCAGCCACACUGGAACUGAGACACGGUCCAGACUCCUACGGGAGGCAGCAGUGGGGAAUAUUGCACAAUGGGCGCAAGCCUGAUGCAGCCAUGCCGCGUGUAUGAAGAAGGCCUUCGGGUUGUAAAGUACUUUCAGCGGGGAGGAAGGUGUUGUGGUUAAUAACCGCAGCAAUUGACGUUACCCGCAGAAGAAGCACCGGCUAACUCCGUGCCAGCAGCCGCGGUAAUACGGAGGGUGCAAGCGUUAAUCGGAAUUACUGGGCGUAAAGCGCACGCAGGCGGUCUGUCAAGUCGGAUGUGAAAUCCCCGGGCUCAACCUGGGAACUGCAUUCGAAACUGGCAGGCUUGAGUCUUGUAGAGGGGGGUAGAAUUCCAGGUGUAGCGGUGAAAUGCGUAGAGAUCUGGAGGAAUACCGGUGGCGAAGGCGGCCCCCUGGACAAAGACUGACGCUCAGGUGCGAAAGCGUGGGGAGCAAACAGGAUUAGAUACCCUGGUAGUCCACGCCGUAAACGAUGUCUACUUGGAGGUUGUGCCCUUGAGGCGUGGCUUCCGGAGCUAACGCGUUAAGUAGACCGCCUGGGGAGUACGGCCGCAAGGUUAAAACUCAAAUGAAUUGACGGGGGCCCGCACAAGCGGUGGAGCAUGUGGUUUAAUUCGAUGCAACGCGAAGAACCUUACCUGGUCUUGACAUCCACAGAACUUUCCAGAGAUGGAUUGGUGCCUUCGGGAACUGUGAGACAGGUGCUGCAUGGCUGUCGUCAGCUCGUGUUGUGAAAUGUUGGGUUAAGUCCCGCAACGAGCGCAAC